UCAAAUGUAAAUCUCGACCUAAUUAAGACGAUUUAAACUAGGAAGCGAUUAGAGUGAUCUUCCUAUAUAAAGUCUUGUGAUGAGUCUGAUUAAGGACACGAUUUAACAUCAAUAAAAAUACUUUUAUACUAUCUUCCAAGCGCUCUCUCUCUUUAUAUUUAUAUUUUCCGCUCGUCGAAUUCAUCUUCUCCGACGAAGAAU
rnacentral:lncRNA from 1 species